UUUUCUACCAUUAAACGAUUAAACACAUUGCACCGACGAUAAAUUUUCUAACGAAUUGUUCGUUUGGUUAGUGAUAUCGAAAAAAAUAUAAAAUUGGGUUUUUUAUAGUUUGAAUGGUUUAGAUUAUGUUCAACGGAGCUAAGCGUCAAUUUGAAAGCUUUAUGAUUGAAAACAAAUCAGUAGUAAAUCGAGGUGUUUACUAUCAAUAUUAGCUA
rnacentral:lncRNA from 1 species